AGUGAACGCUGGCGGUAGGCCUAACACAUGCAAGUCGAACGGCAGCACAGUAAGAGCUUGCUCUUACGGGUGGCGAGUGGCGGACGGGUGAGGAAUACAUCGGAAUCUACUUUUUCGUGGGGGAUAACGUAGGGAAACUUACGCUAAUACCGCAUACGACCUACGGGUGAAAGCAGGGGAUCUUCGGACCUUGCGCGAUUGAAUGAGCCGAUGUCGGAUUAGCUAGUUGGCGGGGUAAAGGCCCACCAAGGCGACGACCCGUAGCUGGUCUGAGAGGAUGAUCAGACACACUGGAACUGAGACACGGUCCAGACUCCUACGGGAGGCAGCAGUGGGGAAUAUUGGACAAUGGGCGCAAGCCUGAUCCAGCCAUACCGCGUGGGUGAAGAAGGCCUUCGGGUUGUAAAGCCCUUUUGUUGGGAAAGAAAAGCAGCAGGUUAAUACCCCGCUGUUCUGACGGUACCCAAAGAAUAAGCACCGGCUAACUUCGUG
rnacentral:rRNA from 1 species